UGCGACUUGGAGCGAGGGGAGGGGGAGCUGUUAGGUGACGUGGCGCCCUGCGGCCGGAAAGCUUCCCCACACCCGCGACCUAGCCGGGCCCCCAACCGGGAGCCCACCCCCGAGGGUUUCCUUCCAUCUUCGGGUGUGUGCUUCGCCUUGGGCCUUGAUGCCGCCCCAAGGUCCAGAAGGGCCCUCUCCCACUUGUGCGCAGAAGAGCCAGCCCUCACCCGAGUAGAAACAAAGAUUCAAGGACAUUGCUGACCUGAGGGCCAAGACUAGAGCCUCCUGUACAUGAAGAACUGGUUAUUUUCUCUCUCAGGACUGAUAGGACUGGGCCUAGAAAUAGGGAAGAAAGAAGGAAGAAUGUAAUGAAAAAUAAGGAGCACUAGAAGGCAUAGAGCCCUCAAAGUGGGCAAGAGAAAUAGGCUUGAAAGUUCUAAUAGAAGGAAUUCAAGAAGAUGAACUGUCCUCACAUGUGGACCCCACCUCCUUUAAAAAACCAAAACCUAUGA